rnacentral:tRNA from 1 species
GAGGGUGUAGCUCACUGGUAGAGCAUGUGCUUAAUAUGCACAAGGCUCUAGGUUUGAUCCCCAGCACGAGUA